CGUCCGUAGCAAUACGGAUGGCGCACGGCGCACGGGUGCGUAACACGUGGGCAAUCUGCCCUCGGAUGGGGGAUAACUCGCCGAAAGGCGAGCUAAUACCGCAUGACAUUCCGAAGACUCCGGUCUUUGGAUUCAAAGGCCGCAAGGCCGUCUGAGGAGGAGCCCGCGCCCGAUUAGCUUGUUGGCGGGGUAACGGCCCACCAAGGCUUUGAUCGGUAGCCGGUCUGAGAGGAUGGCCGGCCACACUGGAACUGAGACACGGUCCAGACUCCUACGGGAGGCAGCAGUGGGGAAUAUUGCGCAAUGGGCGAAAGCCUGACGCAGCGACGCCGCGUGGGGGAUGAAGCUUCUCGGA
rnacentral:rRNA from 1 species